rnacentral:rRNA from 1 species
AUAAAAAACCAAUGCCCUUCGGGGCUCCUUGGUGAUUCAUAAUAACUUAACGAAUCGCAUGGCCUUGCGCCGGCGAUGGUUAUUUAAAAUUUCUGCCCUAUCAACCGAUGGUAGGAUAGUGGCCUACCAUGGUGGCAACGGGUAACGGGGAAUUAGGGUUCGAUUCCGGAGAGGGAGCCUGAGAAACGCCACCACAUCCAAGGAAGGCAGCAGGCGCGCAAAUUAACCAAUCCCGACACGGGGAGGUAGUGACAAUAAAUACUGAUUACGGGGCUUCUUUGGGUCCUCGUAAUUGGAAUGAGUACAAUCCUAAAUCCCUUAACGAGGAACAAUUGGAGGGCAAGUCUGGUUGCCAGCAGCCGCGGAAAUUCCAGCUCCAAUAGCGUUAUUAUUAAAGUUGUUGCAGUUAAAAAGCUCGUAGUUGGAACCUUGGGUCUGGCUGGCCGGUCCGCCUCACCGCGAGUACUGGUGGCUUGGACCUUUCCUUCUGGGGAACCUCAUGGCCUUCACUGGCUGUGG